rnacentral:rRNA from 1 species
GACGAACGCUGGCGGCGUGCUUAACACAUGCAAGUCGAACGGAAAGGCCCUGCUCUUGUGGGGUGCUCGAGUGGCGAACGGGUGAGUAACACGUGAGUAACCUGCCCUUGACUUUGGGAUAACUUUAGGAAACUGGGGCUAAUACCGGAUAGGAGCUCCUGCUGCAUGGUGGGGGUUGGAAAGUUUCGGCGGUUGGGGAUGGACUCGCGGCUUAUCAGCUUGUUGGUGGGGUAGUGGCUUACCAAGGCUUUGACGGGUAGCCGGCCUGAGAGGGUGACCGGCCACAUUGGGACUGAGAUACGGCCCAGACUCCUACGGGAGGCAGCAGUGGGGAAUAUUGCACAAUGGGCGGAAGCCUGAUGCAGCAACGCCGCGUGCGGGAUGACGGCCUUCGGGUUGUAAACCGCUUUCGCCUGUGACGAAGCGUGAGUGACGGUAAUGGGUAAAGAAGCACCGGCUAACUACGUG